rnacentral:rRNA from 1 species
AUUGAACGCUGGCGGCGUGCCUAAUACAUGCAAGUCGAACGCAGUGGGGACGGGUGAGUAACACGUGGGUAACCUCCCAUCAGAGGGGAUAACACUUGUAAACAGGUGUUAAACCGAUAUUGAUGGCUGGACCCGCGGUGAAUUAGCUAGUUGGUGAGGUAACGGCUCACCAAGGCCACGAUGCAUCGCCGACCUGAGAGGGUGAUCGGCAACACGGGGACUGAGACACGGCCCAGACUCCUACGGGAGGCAGCAGUAGGGAAUCUUAGGCAAGGGACGAAAGUCUGACCGAGCAACGACGCGUGAGUGAAGAAGGUUUUCGGAUCGUAAAACUCUGUUGUUAGAGAAGCGGUAUCUAACCAGAAAGCCACGGCUAACUACGUGCCAGCCGCCGCGGUAAUAC